rnacentral:rRNA from 1 species
UACGAAGGGGGCUAGCGUUGUUCGGAAUUACUGGGCGUAAAGGGCGCGUAGGCGGUACUUCAAGUCAGGCGUGAAAGCCCCGGGCUCAACCUGGGAACCGCGCUUGAGACUGGAGAACUAGAGUUCGGGAGAGGAUGGUGGAAUUCCCGGUGUAGCGGUGAAAUGCGCAGAUAUCGGGAAGAACACCCGUGGCGAAGGCGGCACUCUGGGCUGGAACUGACGCUGAGGAGCGAAAGCGUGGGUAGCAAACAGG